CAACAACAACAAGGCCUUAUGCGUGUGAAUAUGUGACUUUGUAUGGUUGUAAGAGCCUAGAGAAAAACUUUUAUGAAUCAAAGGGGUCAUGCACUCUUGGUUUAUUAGAGAGAAGAGAGGGGAAAGGCCAAAGGAGGAGAAAAAAUAUUUUAAAAGCUGUUUUUAAUUGUGGGGCUCUUCUUUAUUUUCUUUUAUCUACAGCUUUUUACCAUUUAUGUAAAAUUAUGUGUGUGUCUGUACAUAGCCACAGAGGGCUAUGAAGAGAGAAUGCCAGCAGACUCUAAGAUUUUUAAAAUAUACAAUAAAUGCCAUUUAAACUAGGGAAAGGCUGGGGAGAAAGGGAAACUAAUGUAAAAUUUUUCUGGAUGUUGAUGCUGUGAAGUGUCACAUUCUCAGAUCAUCUCUGUGGUUGGCAUGACUUGAAACAAA
rnacentral:lncRNA from 1 species